rnacentral:RNase_P_RNA from 1 species
GUAAGCGGGAUCAGGUAAGGGUGAAAGGGUGCGGUAAGAGCGCACCGCGCGGCUGGUAACAGUCCGUGGCACGGUAAACUCCACCCGGAGCAAGGCCAAAUAGGGGUUCAUAAGGUACGGCCCGUACUGAACCCGGGUAGGCUGCUUGAGCCAGUGAGCGAUUGCUGGCCUAGAUGAAUGACUGUCCACGACAGAACCCGGCUUAUCGGUCAGUUUCACCU